AAUUUCUUAUAAAAAACAUUUAUCUAAUUAUUCUUAAAACAAUUUCCCCUAAAACUGAAAAGGAAAAAUAAAUUUAAUCAAAGAAUUCCAAAUUUCCUUUAGUAUCAGGAAUUAUCAAUUAACUUAAUUAAAAAUAAAUCCCGAAAUAUUGUGAUCUAUUUCUCAUUAUAAUCAUUAUUUCAUUAAUCUAAUAAAAUUAGAAAUAGAUAUUAAACUUCAUACGAACAAUAUAUAUCUGGUUUCUAAAAAACAAAAUAAUUUAACAAAAACUUCAAUAGAAUACCCUAUUAAAUAAAAUUAAAAACUCCUAAAAACCCUAAAAGAAUUAAAGUCCCUUUAAUGUUUCAAAACAAUAAAUUCAAUCCUAAAAAUUAUUAAUAUUAAGAUAAACCCUAAAUAAAAAAAAAAUGACAAUAUAAGUAAAAUGUAAAAUUAAAAUCAUUAACUCAACCAAAUUUAAUAACUGUUUACCAAAAACAUAUUUAAUAGAAUUAAUUAUUAAUAAAACCUGCUCAAUGUAUUAUUAAUAGCCGCAGUUCCUACUGUGCUAAGGUAGCAUAAUCAUUUGUCUUUUAAUUAAAGACUAGAAUGAAAGGUAUAAUAUUUAAAUUAUUAUAUAAAACUUUUUAUUUAAAUUUAAUUUAAAUGUAAAAAAGCAUUUAUUUUCAAGAAAGACGAUAAGACCCUAUUGAACUUAACUUUAGUUUAACUGGGGUAGUUAAAUAAAUAAUACUUUACUAUAUUUAAAUAAAAUCUUAACAAAAUGACCUAAUCCAAUUAAUUUUAUGAUCAAGUUACCAUAGGGAUAACAGCGUAAUAUUUUUCCAUAGAUCUUAUAAAAAAAAAAGAUUACGACCUCGAUGUUGAAUUAAUUACUCUAAUAAAAGCAAAAUUUUAAAAAGAAGGUCUGUUCGACCUUUAAAUAAUCACAUGAUUUGAGUUCAGACCGGUGUAAACCAGGUCGGAUUCUAUCUUCUCUCCCAAUUUCCUAGUACGAAAGGACCAGAAAUAAUAUUAUAAAU
rnacentral:rRNA from 1 species